rnacentral:tRNA from 1 species
UGGGGUGUAGCUCAGUGGCAGGGCACUUGCCUAGCAUGCAAAAGGCCCUGGGUUCAAUUGUCAGCACUGCAA